CUCCGUGCCAGCAGCCGCGGUAAUACGGAGGGUGCAAGCGUUAAUCGGAAUUACUGGGCGUAAAGCGCACGCAGGCGGUCUGUCAAGUCGGAUGUGAAAUCCCCGGGCUCAACCUGGGAACUGCAUUCGAAACUGGCAGGCUAGAGUCUUGUAGAGGGGGGUAGAAUUCCAGGUGUAGCGGUGAAAUGCGUAGAGAUCUGGAGGAAUACCGGUGGCGAAGGCGG
rnacentral:rRNA from 1 species